GUUUUUCUAGCACCAGGGGAUAGCAAGGGCAAGUAGGCCCCCUUGAGCUCAUCACUGCCCUUCUUCAGGAGGAGCUAAAGAGGGGGAAAGACAGGGUGCAUCUCUCCAGGGCCCCCUGCCCCAGUCAAACACCCCUGUGGCCAUAGCUCCUGGGCUCCCAGUGUGCCAUGGGGAAAGCACUUCCUCAUCCGGAAUCGCUCGUUACUCGUGCUACAUGAAGAACUCAGACAUCACAGAGGGGGCAGUCGCCAGGAAGCAGAGCUCUGGACUGUGAUUCCAUGAACUCGCGCACCCCCUCCUUCCCUUCAUCCAAACAAGGCCCUUUGGCGUGAAUAAUAGCUCAGCGGCUCCGAAGCCGUAUUGAUCGGCUGCAAACCCGGCUCCGCCGAGAGCUGCCAGGGCUUUUCCUGGGGGCAGGACCAGCACCGCUCAGCACAGCCUCCUCUCCCCCUCCCACUUCCCCGGCCUCCCCCAGGUGUGUUCAGGAGGGGACAAUACCUGGGGGAGCCCAGGCCCUCUCCAGCUCAGUGCCACUUCGUUACCGCAACUUUGCUGUUUUUCACUUAUUUUGCCAGGGUAAGCACCUAAGUUAGAGAGAAAUGUUUUUUCGUGACGAGGCCCCACAGAGUUGAGAAUGAACACAUCCUCCCGCUCCAGUUUCUCCCCAGAAUGUUCUGCCAAGGACCCAGGCCAUAGAGGCAUCCUGGGCUGACACCUGUGGGGGCCCUAUUAUACCCCCAGCGCUGACAAGCACUUCGGCAUCCUGUACCACAUUUUCGCGUUACUCUCCCCUGUCUCAUCCCAUCAGAAAAGAGGAGCCAAGAACAUGGCUAGGACUCACCACCUCCUUGAGGGAUGGGGACUGUUGCAAAAUUCAACAGACGUGCAUCAGCCGCAGGCUGGGAGACCAGCAGAGACCAAAGCCUGCCAGCCCCACUCCCUGAGCCUCUGACCAGACUGUCCCUCCCCGUGUUUGCACCUCUUCUGGACACAGGAAGUGGUCAAGGCCUUGACCCUUUGAGGGAUGCCAGGCCCCUGCGCAGUGACACCCUCGCGGUGGUGGAUGCCUGAAACCCCACCCCUAGAGAGGCCGUCCUGUGGUUUCUGCCCUGGAACACUGGAAAAAUGCAGAUUCAUUUUUCCCUAGACAGCUUCAGUCCUACCAGCCACAGAUCCCUCUAAGUGAGUUGUCUGACCCUUUCCUGGGGGCAGAUUUUGGGUUUGGGGGAAGACAGACCCACUACAUGAGGGAGCCUGAGUGGUCUUUGGGAGAAAGGUUAGAAGGAAAGAGGGGCUUGGUUCCCUAGGACCAGCUCCCUGGAGGUUGCCCCGUAUCAGCUGCCUUCAGCCUUGCCUUAAAACCCACUCCCUGGCCAGGACCCCGUUCUUCUAAGGAUUGCGUUCUGGCUUAGGGCUGCAUGCAGGCAAACAUGGGAGCCUGAGAAUGGGCUCUGCAAAGGAGCAGUAAUGGGUUGAGGGUCUCCUGACAGGUCCCACAGCCAUGCCCUGGCUGAGAAGGAUCGAGAAAGAGCAGGGAGGCUGGGUUGGAGUUUGGACAGCUAACCCUGGGGGCAGGAAAAUUGUGUCCCUCCUCUGGCCCUCCUGAGGCUGAAGGAAGUCCAAAUCCGCUGUGGUGUACAAUUUGGCAUUUGGGGAAGGACCCAAAAGGGAUUCUUUUCUGCCCUGAGCAGACCUUCCCCACACUGCCACAUCCAGGGGUCUUGGCACAGAGGGGACACUGUGGCCGUCAGAGACUCUCCGCUCAAUUUCCAUCUUCUCUCAUUCAUCCACACCCACCCUUCCAGAGCUCUACACUGCAUUUCUAAAGAAAGGGAGAAACUCGAGUGAGAACUAGAGGGCUUCACUGAGCUCAUUAUUAUCCCCGACAAGACUUCUAAAUAAUCUAGCCUUUCCCUGUUUGAAGCAUGAGAGGUGUAAGCAGAUUUAUUCAUUCAUUCAUUCAAUCAAUAUUUAUUGAGCAUCUACUAUGUUCCAGGCCCCGAAGACACAUGGUGAAGAAGAUAGAUAAGAAAAGAAAGAAGGUAGUCUCACAGCACUGGAAGUCAGAAAACUAUUUUCCUUUCCAGAAUCCUGACUCACUCCAAUCCCGGGCAAGGUCAUUCUCAGGGUCUCAAAAUCACAUUGCGAUGCCUGUGCCUCUGCCACCUUCUACACUGCCCCCUGAGAUGAAUGCACCAUCACUGUGAAUUACUAGGCAAAAUCUUCUCCAAGUGGACAAUGCUGUAUGUUCAUUCCUCCUUGCAAUCCCCAUGACUGCAUUAGCAAAGGAGCCCCGCUGAGGCUGAGUAGGGCUGACACUUGCCUGCAGGUGGGCAGGUCCCCAUCAGCACUGGCCCUACUUCCAGGACUGGCCUAGGAGAGGCCAGGGAUAGGAAUGGGGACUGUUUAGAUCGGGGCCGACUUGGAGGAUUUUUUCCUCCUGCUUAUUAAAUGUUAAAGGUUUGACUUGGCAGGCAAUCAGGAGCCCAAAAUAUCAUAAAAGGGAAAAAAGUUGCCGAGUGGCUAAGAGGUGCACCACGG
rnacentral:lncRNA from 1 species